CUCACACAAGCUGACAGUCGAAAUGUAGCUAUAGGAUGUUGGACCUCAAUCAUUGGUAGGACAUUCAAAACCAACACCCGAAAAAUGGUAACCCUAAUGACAUGUCAUUUGUAUCUUACGAAUUCCUAAGGUUCAAACAAGGCUUAAUAUUCGUCAAUUCAUCAUAAUAUGAAUACAUUCACAUUUAUAUUGAUUCAUUUAUAGUGAAAACAACAUAGAAAACAUUUAAUUUAAUCAACAUUAUAAUACUUACAGUUCAUACAAACUUACCUAGCUAAAUUGCAAAAAUGUCAAAGUAUAAGGGCUAAUUGGUAAUUUUCCCUUCUCUUCGAUUUUCCACUCGUUCUUUAUCUAAAUUAAUAAUUUCAUUCAACUCAUUAAUUUAGAUAGUAAAAAAAUUUACUUUAUGCAAUUUAGUUAUUUUUGACACUUUUACAAAAUUACCAUCAAAUUUUCAUUUUUAUUCAAUUUAGUCCAUAUGUCUUAAUCAUGCAAAUAAACAAGUUUUAUUGAUAUUUCAUACCAGCCGAAUGUUAAUAGCAUCCAUUACAGCCUACAUUUGUAACAAUUUCACACCAAGUCAUUCUAUUUUUACUAUUUCAACAAUUUAAUGCGUAAUCGAUAAAUUCAUCAAAAAUCACUUAACAAAAUUCUUAUAAAUAACAACUAAUACUUCAAACUCAUCAUUUAACAAUCACAAAGAUUCAUCAAUGGUAGAAUUCAAAAUCUUUAACAGUUUCAAAAACGAAGGCAUGGGCUAGUUGGACCUAGUUGCAACGAUCUCAAUAACAUAAAAAUUAUUAGAAAUGAGACCAAAAUGACAUACCAUGCUACCAUUUGAACUUCUCGAACCUCAAAGCUUAAAAAUGGCUUCUUCCCCCUUAACCAUUCGGUGAUGAAGACUUU
rnacentral:lncRNA from 1 species